AAAUUGAAGAGUUUGAUCAUGGCUCAGAUUGAACGCUGGCGGCAGGCCUAACACAUGCAAGUCGAACGGUAGCACAGAGAGCUUGCUCUCGGGUGACGAG
rnacentral:rRNA from 1 species